UUCAAACAACACAGAUUUCAGCACUGAGGUCUUCUAGUGUGAUCACAAACUACAAAAAAAUAAAAACAUGUAAAAUAUAUACAAACACUUCUUAAAGAAUAAGGAAAUAGCCAAACCUCCAAGUUGCUUCUGAAAGCAAGAGCCAAGUUUAUUCCACAGUUGAUGUGUAAGAAGAGCUGGAAUGGACUUCCUGUCAUAAAUUGCUAAUUCAAAAUUUUCCAUCAGAUGUAUCAUCUCUCAACUUAAAGAUUAUGGAGUAAUGCACCCAUGUGAAGAACGCGAGGCUCAGAGAGGCAGAGCAACUUACGGCGAGUCACACAGCUAAAUCCACCUCCAGUCUGUCUCCCCAUGUGAAGCCCUCCAACGUGUUGCCUUGGUUCAGUGCAACAGGAUCCUACCUGGUAUCUGACUUCUAACACGAUCUGAGUCCAAUCCAUUUUUCACGGAGCCACAGUUCUGAAGCCAGGUCUGGGAACCUCUCGUGACCCCCUGGUAUUGUGGACUCCGCUAAUGAAAGCAUUGUAUUUACUUGACCGUCGCCUCACAGGAAGGCAGCCUCCUCUGACUUCUGGGUAUUUCCAACAAUGCCAGCUGCGCACAACCUGACCCCCCUGAGGUUUGGGGCUGGGGCUGGAGGUCCCCCAUGAGGAGAAAUCCCGCCUGUGAUCCUCUUCUGCUUCCUGCUUCUGGGUCCUUCAGCUGAAGUUGCUUCAGACUUAUCUUGUGCACUGUCCUCAACUGUCUACAGUGGA